CUACGGGUCGCACCAGUGGGGAAUAUUGCACAAUGGAGGGAACUCUGAUGCAGCGAUGCCGCGUGAGGGAAGAAGGUUUUCGGAUUGUAAACCUCUGUCUUCAGGGACGAUAAUGACGGUACCUGAGGAGGAAGCUCCGGCUAACUACGUGCCAGCAGCCGCGGUAAUACGUAGGGAGCGAGCGUUGUCCGGAAUUACUGGGUGUAAAGGGAGCGUAGGCGGGACUGCAAGUCAGAUGUGAAAACUAUGGGCUUAACCCAUAGACUGCAUUUGAAACUGUGGUUCUUGAGUGAAGUAGAGGUUGGCGGAAUUCCUAGUGUAGCGGUGAAAUGCGUAGAUAUUAGGAGGAACAUCAGUGGCGAAGGCGGCCAACUGGGCUUUUACUGACGCUGAGGCUCGAAAGCGUGGGGAGCAAACAGGAUUAGAUACCCUUGUAGUC
rnacentral:rRNA from 1 species